rnacentral:rRNA from 1 species
UACGUAGGUGGCAAGCGUUGUCCGGAAUCACUGGGCGUAAAGCGCGCGCAGGCGGCGAUCUACGUCUGGGGUGAAAGCCCGGAGCUCAACUCCGGGACUGCCUUGGAUACGGGAUCGCUUGAGGAUUGGAGAGGCAAGGGGAAUUCCACGUGUAGCGGUGAAAUGCGUAGAUAUGUGGAGGAACACCUGUGGCGAAGGCGGCUUGCUGGGCCUUACCUGACGCUGAGGAGCGAAAGCGUGGGGAGCGAACAGG